GACCUCGGUUCCCUAGUUUCUUAAGGGGGUGGGAUGUGUGUGUGUUUAAAAUGUCCAGGAUGGAGAAGGGGUUGGGCCUGGUGGAGACGGGCUUGCAAACCUCCCCCCAAAGACUCCAGGCCUACAGCUGCCAUGCUCCAGUGCAGACAGACAAUCGGACAGGCUCUUAACGCAGACUGUUCUUCCACCAAACACUUUUUGAGGAAAGAGAGGAGGAAGAAAGGAAGAAAAGAGGGAAGAGAGAAAGGAAGGGGAGAGAAAAGUGGAAGAAAAUGGAUUAUAUGUGGACACACAGCACGUGCCAAGAGCCACAAGAGCCGUAUUCGAUGACCACACGAAGACCUCACACGGCCGCUCCGUGAGAGUGGCGGUGCGUUUGCCCAUGACAAAUGAAGUAAGCAAGGUUGAAUUGCUUUCCCAAGACCGCAUAGCAUUAACCAGCAGAGUUUGAACUUGAAGCCAGGCCCGUCUGUGUGCAAAGGCUGAGCUGGAUCUGCCUCGCCACAUGGCCUCCUGGAGCACCAGACCCUGCCUAAGUGCUGCCGGCCGAGAAGACCAGAUUUUCUCCACGCGUCCGGCAUUCCACUCUUCUAGCCCAACGUUGGAACUUCCCGGCUCAGGAAUAUGGGGAGCUGCAGCUUUGGGAAGUCAGGAUCGGGGAGACAAGGCAGCUGUGGCUUAAGGCCAGGCCUCUGGAUACCUCUGACACAAGGGAUGGCUCCUCUGUGUUUUUCUGAUUGGCCAUAUAGGCAGGAGGAAAGACAGCAGUAAUCAUGCGAGUCAUGAGACUCUCGCAGUGUUCGCUCAUUAUCUGCCUGCGUCUGGGCGGGGAGGGGAUUAUUUCCCAUUUACAGUUGGUGACACCCCCACAGAAGCCUCAAACGUGAUUCUUGGGCCCAACUCAGCCAAUCCUGUCCUCUCAGCAAUUCUUCAAGGCCCAGCUCAAACAUCCCCUCCUCCAGGAUGCCUUCCGCCAACUUACAGCGUUGUUAAUAACACCCUCUCCCAUGCCUGUGUGCCUGGAGCCAAAGAUGAAGUUUAACCUCCCUUUGUAAUCUGAUCCCUACUACAGCCUGGCACAGAGUAGCUUCUUACUAAAUGUUUAUGAAUUAAAUACUUUGCCCAUUCCACUGAACAGGACUUUUCCUGUGGACUGUAAACAGCUGCUGCCUUUUUUUUUUUUUUUUUUUGUCUGUCUAUUGUUUGCCCCACCCAGGUGAGCUGAGCCCACCAGGUGAGCUCCAGGAGGGAAGGGAGCUCGUCUGCAGGUUUCUCUCUUUAUCUCUGGCUCACUGCCACCUCUGCCUCCCAGGUUCAAAUUUUACAUUUUCAUACCUCUACAGGAAAUUCAGUUCCAAAAGAUGGGCCGACUUCUCAUUUUAGAGAUGACGACAAAGGCCCAGAGAGGGGCAGUGAUUCAUCCAAGGUGGCAGAGCCAGUCAGGAAGAGCAUCCUGGAGGGAGCCCCGGUCUGCCAACCCCACCGUAUUCAUUCUCACACCUGAUCAUAUGAGUGUAAAGUUCUAGUUGAUGGAAGGACGUGACAUAUUUUGUCCUUUGUUCUUCCCAGGUGCCAUGAUUACUCUCUUUAAUGGAUGAGGAAAUUGAGGCACGAAUGGGCUUGGAAACUUGCCGAAGUUCCCACCGGCAGUAAAUGACAACGCUGGGGUGGGGAUGAUCCUAAGAUGCUGCUCCCACCGGCAGCUGUGAACCAAUGCGAGGGCCCAUCUUCCACCCAGGGCCCGUGCUAGCCUGGAGCUGCAGACUCUCCCCAGCCACCCCUGCCCGGGAGAGAUAGGCCUGGCCGACCACGCCAGCUCGGGAAACAUAACAAAAGCCACGCAGAGGACAGAGCAGCCCGGCAGUGCCUCUGUGGAUGUGCGACGCAGACAUCACAAGAUGAUUUAUGUAACUUCUUACAUAAUGACAAUAUUUCUAUCAAAAACCAGCCCAAGGCAGGCUGUCAGCCGUAAUCAGAACGGACGUGCUUCUUGCUUCCUGAGAACAGGAGGCAUCGGGUCAAAGCAAACCCCUUUGGCUGCCAGGCUAAGGGCUUCCUGACCUGCUGAACUUGCCUGGUGUGGCUCUGUCCUCAGAGGAGGCAGAGACCUGGUAAUGCCCCAGAGGAGUCACAGCCAGGCUCAGCCAGCCCCAUCACCCCUGGCUGCAGCCCACCUCCAGCGACAGAGACCACUGUCAGUGUGAUCAAAUACCACACUGGAAGAGGUUUCAACCACAUUAUUGUACCAUUAGAGGGAGACUGGCUUUGGAGAUGAGAUCUUUGAACUCAGCCCCUACCUGGCUGUGUGAUCUUGAGGUAGUCACUCACCCUCUCUAGGCCUCAGUUUCCUGGACGAAUUACAUCAUCAAUUCUUGACCUCCAUGCUGAGCACAUGGAUAUGGUGCUAGCAUGCCACAAGUCGGUGCUACUUAUAUGUGGCAAAUGAUUUACUUUUUCCUAAUAUAAAUCAGUGCGAUUCAACCUCAUCAAAUCAGCAACCACUUUAUAAGAUGAAUAUCCUGGGAACUCCAGAAGCCUUGGGAGGACACAGGAGAGAGCUACCUGUUCCCUGGGAUAGUUCCACAUUGCACAGACCCCUGGGACCUUAACACAGGGCUGGGCUUCUGAACCAGCUUCCUUUGGUCUCCAGUUCUUAGUGGCAGUAAUAGAUGUGAUAUGUAUAUGCUGGGAGGUGAAGCCCCUGAACAGAAUGGCCGAUGCCCAUGCACACUGGGAGGGACCAUCUGUCUUACAACCCAUGAGCAGGUACUAUGACCAGCCCAUCUUAAGAUGAGGAGGCUAAGGCACAGAACAGUGAAGGGCCUUGUUGAAGGUCACAGCUAGUAAAUGGCAGAGCUGGAUACAAAC